UACGUAGGGUGCGAGCGUUAAUCGGAAUUACUGGGCGUAAAGCGUGCGCAGGCGGUUUUGUAAGCCGGAUGUGAAAUCCCCGGGCUUAACCUGGGAAUGGCAUUCGGGACUGCAAGGCUGGAGUGCGGAAGAGGAGAGUGGAAUUCCUGGUGUAGCGGUGAAAUGCGCAGAUAUCAGGAAGAACACCCGUGGCGAAGGCGGCUCUCUGGGACGGUACUGACGCUGAGACGCGAAAGCGUGGGGAGCGAACAGG
rnacentral:rRNA from 1 species